ACGGCGUGUGAGGGCGGCCCCGCGGCCUGCGCGGCGUUCUGAGGAGUGAAAUAUGGGAGUGAGAAAAAAGGGAACAAGCGGCGCUGUGAGGGAACAUAAAACACCGACCACGAUGGGAGUGCUGGUGUGAAUACAGUCAGAAUUAGGAAAUUCAGGAAGAGUCACCAGACAUAAAAGGAUGGAAGGCAAAAUGUGGGAUUUGCUUUAUCCUUCCAGCUGGUUUGUUUGGAGCUGCAGGGGUUUUAGUGGCUCAGGUGAUUCUUCUGCAAAAUUUUGUAAAUGAAAGUGCGUAAUUUUGUAAAUAAAAACUUUAGAAAGUCUCAA